UACUGCAACAACAACAACAACAACAACAAUGUUAUAGUACUGCAACAACAACAACAACAUGUUAUAGUACAGCAACAACAACAACAUGUUAUACUACUGCAACAACAACAACAUGUUAUACUACUGCAACAACAACAACAACAUGUUAUAGUACUGCAACAACAACAACAUGUUAUAGUACUGCCAACAACAACAACAACAACAUGUUAUAGUACUGCAACAACAACAACAACAACAUGUUAUAGUACUGCAACAACAACAUGUUAUAGUACUGCAACAACAACAUGUUAUAGUACUGCAACAACAACAAGUUAUAGUACUGCAACAACAACAACAACAACAACAACAUGUUAUAGUACUGCAACAACAACAUGUUAUAGUACUGCAACAACAACAACAACAUGUUAUAGUACAGCAACAACAACAACAUGUUAUAGUACAGCAACAACAACAACAUGUUAUAGUACAGCAACAACAACAACAUGUUAUAGUACAACAACAACAACAACAUGUUAUACUACUGCAACAACAACAACAACAUGUUAUAGUACUGCAACAACAACAACAAAAUGUUAUAGUACUGCAACAACAACAACAAGUUAUAGUACUGCAACAACAACAACAAAAUGUUAUAGUACUGCAACAACAACAACAAGUUAUAGUACUGCAACAACAACAACAAAAUGUUAUAGUACUGCAACAACAACAACAUGUUAUAGUACUGCAACAACAACAACAACAACAACAUGUUAUAGUACAGCAACAACAACAUGUUAUAGUACUGCAACAACAACAUGUUAUAGUACUGCAACAACAACAACAACAACAACAACAUAUUAUAGUACUGCAACAACAACAACAACAUGUUAUAGUACUGCAACAACAUGUUAUAGUACUGCAACAACAACAACAACAUGUUAUAGUACUGCAACAACAACAACAACAACAACAUGUUAUAGUACUGCAACAACAACAUAUUAUAGUACUGCAACAACAUGUUAUAGUACUGCAACAACAACAACAACAUGUUAUAGUACUGCAACAACAACAACAACAACAUGUUAUAGUACUGCAACAACAACAACAACAACUACAUGUUAA
rnacentral:lncRNA from 8 species